GCCUGGCGGCCGUAGCGCGGUGGUCCCACCUGACCCCAUGCCGAACUCAGAAGUGAAACGCCGUAGCGCCGAUGGUAGUGUGGGGUCUCCCCAUGCGAGAGUAGGGAACUGCCAGGCAU
rnacentral:rRNA from 12 species